CAUCCAUCAAAUUUCAUGUUUUGUUUAGAUUUCCAAAACACCAAGAACACACACUAGUGUUCUUGGGCCCUUAGCACCUUUUCAAGCUUCUAACUAGUAAGUGCUUCUACCCUAGUGUAUUGUAAAGCUUAUUACCUUUCCAAACAUCAUGAAAUGGUCCCAAGAACACCAAGGUCAUGGUGUUUACGGUCCAAGAAGUACUUGGACCGUGAACCCCAAAUAAAGGUGCCAAAGUGUGCCUUAUCCUUUCCUAGGCCUUGGGUAUUAACUUAGAAUCCUUCCUUGAUGUGUUUAGCACAUAAAAAGUACCAAAAUCCCUCAUUUAUAUGUGUUUACGGUUUGGGGAGCUCCCAAAACCGUAAACACCCCAAAGUAUGUAUAAAUGACCCAUAUCCCUUCCUAUGCCUUAGUAACUAACAAGGAUCCAUUCCUUGAUGAGCAUAGGACUUGAAAACAUGAAAAUACCACUUUCCAUAUGGGUUUACGAUAGUAAACCCAAAAGGAAAUGGCCUUGGGGCCGUAAACUCCUCAAAGGAGUGUAAUGAUGCCCUAAUCUCUUCCAAAGGCCUAACCAUCAAGUAGAAAUGCUUCAAAGGACUUGUAAAACCUCAAAACAACUUUUGGUCAAAGAGUGAGGAGUUUACGACCAUAAACCCUUGAGUUUACGACCGUAAACUCAUUGAGUAAUGGUCAUGAAAACCGUAAACUCCAAAGGAGUUUACCCUUGAACCCCAAACACAAUAGCAAGGUCCUUUAGCACUUAGAUGCAAUCCUUAUGACUUGUAGCACUUAUAUAAGGUGUUUUACAUGCCUUAGGAUGUCUUAACUUUGUCAAUUAGUGGUUUAAAGUCUAAUUGGAUACAUAUAUGUGUGAUUAUAUGUUAACUAGGAUCAUUUGGUGUGAACAAGUCUUCAUUUGUCACCUAGCUAUCCUACAUCAUUCAGUUCAUCCAAACCACCAUCUACAGGUGAGUUCAUACCCCUUAAUUAACCUUUUAAACGUUUUUAAAUGUUUAUAAAUGCUUUAUGGGGGGAUACAAGUUAAAUCAUGUUUAGUUAUUAUAUCAAUCACAUGUGAUUAAUAACUAGCAUGCAAAUGAAUUUACUAUACGUUAACUGUUUUACCAAACAGAUUUCUUCAAAUGACUUUCUUAAACGUUUUUUACAUGUUUAAAACUCUUUAUCAAACUAUCUUACAUACUGUAAGUUUCCUUUUAAACUCAGUUACAAAUGUGUUUUCAAACAAAGGUUUUCCUUAUACUUAAACUGUCUUAUCAAACAAAAUACUUUCAAAUCGUUUUACAAACUGACAUCAAGUCAACGUUUCUUAGUAUUAAACUUUUCAAAUGUUUUACAAAACUUCUUUUAUGCUUUUAUAUUAUCAAAUGCAUGCCCAUAUAUGUAUACUUAUAUAAGUAAUGUUUAAAGAACUUAGGAAGGCUAGUUCACUUUAUUUCCUUUUCCUCGUUGGGAUGUGGAUUUAGGGUAUCGGUUAGUCGUCCGAAUGUUGUCUUAAUACUAGUCAUAUACCAUGUAUACAUAUAUAGACAUAAAAGUUUCAUCGGCCAGUUCAGUACCUUUGGGUAGCAAAGGCAUACUUCAGGUUAUAUACGUACGUUACUAGUAACUAUAAUAGGUGUAGUUAGGAGAUACUAUUUACCAUUCCAAGUACAAGGGAUCACACAAGAGUCAGUUCAUUCAUGAGUCUAUACUAUACAUUACAUGUUACAAGAAUACGUCUACAUAGAUACGCUUACAUAAAUACGUUUACAUAGAUACAUUUACUUGGAUACACUUACAUGGAUACUUGUACCUAGAUACUAUAUGAUGAAAUAUUAGUACAUAUUAUACGUGUAAAUUAGUUCUGCCUAUCCUAGUACAAAAGGAUACUAGACGGGACUAACCAUUCCGGAACCCACCUGUUAGCAACAGAGGUAAUGAACGUCUACGGAUGCCUACGGUUAAUACUUAUACUAGGAGUACCUUUAUGGGACUAAUCAUUCCUACACCCUGCUGUUGGAUACAGAGGAUUAUGAACAUCUACAGAUGCCUACGGUUAAUACUUAUAUUAGGGGUACCUUUACGGGACUAACCAUUCCUACACCCUGCUGUUAGCUACAGAGGAGAAUGAACAUCUACGGACGUUCAAGGUUAAUACGUUUCGGCAGUCGCGAUGUCGUGUUUAUCCUAAUACAAAAGGAUAAUACUUAUAUGGCUAUAUUUCCCGUAUUACUUUUAUUUUGUGAUACAUUCACAUAAACGAUGAGGUAGACUAUAUAUUGUUAAUAGUAGUCGUAAAAAGGGAAAACCAUCUUUGUUACAGCAAAACAUACAAGUCUCGGUAGAAGACUACUUUCAAAACAUAUAAGUCUUGGUAGAAGACUACUUUCAAAACAUUCGAAUCUUGGUAGAAGACUACUCUUAUACUAAUAGGAAUAUGGGACUUUCUAGGGUUUUCAUACUUAUAUCAAAUGUUUCAUUCAAAGAUUUACAUGGCAUUCAUAACAGCUUUCCAAAACAGGGUAAUGACACUUAAAUACUUAUGAAUUCACGAGCUUUAUGCUGAUACUCGCUUUCAAAAUAACUUGUAUUCUCAGGUCACCAAUAGACAGGUACGAUGACCAGAUUUUGAGAAGAGGGAGCACAGACAAGACUCAUCUUUUAUUUUGAUUACAUAUUUAGGUGUCUUAUUACAAUGAAAGAACACACAUGUAUUAAAACAUUUAAUUUUAAUGCAAUGGAUGAUGUUGUUGCUUGUUUACUACUUUACACUGUUAUGAUACUUCACAUGACGUCCUCCACCCCUGAAUGUUUCUGUUGUUCUCGGUUUUGGGGUGUGACAGAUUGGUAUCAGAGCAUUGUUUAUAGUGAAUAUAGUAUAUCAACCCAUAAAAGAUACACGGACUAUAAUACAAUGGGAUUAAAAUACUCUGACCAAGAAUCUAUACUUUAAAUAAUGAAAUAUUUAAGAAAGUAUAUGUGCCUGCAUUCAUACUAAAAUCAGUGUCACAAUGACAAGAACAAAAGUAUUACGAUUGUUGAAUAUCACAAGUAAGCCUGGGGAUAUAUGGUCAAUCUUGGGAGUGGCAUAGCCUGAUCAACUAUGCUGGUCCAAGGAGUGAUUAGCAUAUGCCCAAGAAUGGUUGUGAUGUGGCAACAAGUCUAAAAACUUACCAACACAACCACAAAGAAAUACCAUAGGGAUAUUUGGUCUUACUAUAAUUAUAUUAGUUAGUUCGUCUAUUUAGUUAGUUCUUAAUAUCCUUUUUCUCGCGUAGAUACCAUGGUUGGAUUCCAUCCCCACGACAACCCGUACUACCCUAACCACGACAAUGUUGGAUGGCUCGGAGAGGAGCCAUAGAAUGAUCACCCAAUCCUUCCGAAUGAUCACUCAACUGAAGACUUUUCUGGUAGUUCUCAUCGCCGAUAGAAUCUCAUCGACUUCUCUUUCGGAUAUAACCUAGAUUAUGUAAAACUCUGGUCUAAAUUCCUAUGUUGUAAAUCUUGGAUCUAUUAGGUCUUGAUUAAGUCAUUGUCUUGUCAAAACUUUCCCAUCAAUGGUUGAUGUAAGGCCUACUCCUAGGCCACUUUUUUCGGAACAUGUUACAUCUAUAAUUCCAGUAUUUUUGACAGAUACCGAAUCGUAUGGACAUUAUCGUCCAAAUGCUUCACCUUUUGAUACUAGAUCCUCAUCCAAACGUGUUAUUAAAUUGUGUUGUUGGACUAUGGAGAGUUAGUCCAUGAUUCACUCUCCUUAUUCAUUUAUUCUUACCGUAUUGUCAUCUUUUAAUCGUACAGUCAAAAGAUGUUGCCUCGCAGAAUUCCAAGGCGUAACCCUAAUAACGAAACACCAAUACCACCACCUCCUCCUUUCGACACUGCCAUGCUCCAAGCCACCUUCACGACAGCAGUAGCAGCUGUCGUGUCAGCCAUCAAUACUCCUGUCCCUAGUGGAUCGAGAACAGGUGCACAUCCUUCCAACCACGGCGAGAGCCAUGACCAUACCCGAGAAUGCACCUACAAGGACUUUACAAAUGCUAAAACCCGAAACUUCGAUGGAACUAGUGGGGUUAUGGUCCUAAGGCAGUGGAUUGAAAAGACAGAAGCAGUCUUUGAGAUCUGCGCAUGCCCGGAGAGCAACAAGGUCAAGUUUGCUACUUGUACCUUUUCUGACAGAGCGUUAACUUGGUGGAAUGGUCAUGUUAAGUCUCUGACUAUUGUAGUGGCAAAUUCUAUCAGCUGGGAAAACUUGAAAGCCAUGCUGGUAAGAGAGUACUGUCCUCGAGGGCAAGUUCAAAAGCUCGAACAAGAACUUUGGAGUCUGGAAAUGGUUGGUACCGAUAUAUCAACCUAUACAGGUAGAUUCUGUGAUCUGGCAAACCUGUGCCCGGAUAUGGUUACUCCUAAGAGCAAGAAAUUAGAGAGGUAUAUUUGGGGACUGUCUCCCCAAAUUCAGUCAAGUGUGUUAGCAUCAACUCCCGAUACUUUCGAUAGUGCCAAAGAACUAGCACAGUCUCUGAUUGACCACGGAAACCAUCAGAACUCAAAAUUUUAUGUACAAGAUCAACAAGAAGGAAACAACAACAAGAACAAGAGGAAAGACGAGUCCUCACCAAGAUCCUCAAGGAAAUAACAACGAGUUACAGUCAAUGCUGCUACAGUACCUGCAAUAGCCUCUAAUAUCCCUUUGCCAGCAAAGCCAUAUGCGGGAAAUCUCCCAAAGUGCAGAAAAUGCAACUAUCACCACCACGGACCUUGUCGGGAGAUGCAGUGCUUAAACUGCAACAGAAAGGGACACACCAUACGUUACUGCAAGAGCCCAGCAAGACCGAUCAACCAAGUGCCCAACGCCGGUGUGAACCAGGCUUGCUACGGUUGUGGCAAGGUGGGUCACUACAAAAGAAACUGCCCAGAGGCAGCGAAUGCUGGCACAAACGGAAGGAUGCUAACGAUCACCACCGCAGGAGAGACUACUCUGGACCCACGUUAAAUUAUUUAAGGCGUUCGUUCUAACAGACUCAUAAACUGUUUAGAACUAGUGCAACUAGAGUCUUAUCUUUUGUGAGAUCCCGUCAGUUAAGGGAUCCUCGUGCUGCGUAUACUUGCCUUUUGUAGUAUACCUUGUUCGCAGCAAUAGUCUUACAGUAAAUCUAAAGUACAGUAACUCUGUUAAAGGUUGCACUGUUGUGUUUUGUCUGUAACGCCUUAUGUUCAAAUCUAAUGUCUUUAGUUUCCGUAUGAUUCCGACAUUAUCAUACAACUUGAGUAAAUUCGAUCCACGCAAUACCAGUCUCAUGCGCACAUCUCUUUCUCCGAAAUCAUCUUUCUAGCGAAGCUGUCAUUCCAGAACACCGCAAUACUCAUUCAUGGAGUACCUCAUGUUUCUAAUCCUUUCCGACGAAAUCUCAGCACACCUUCCCAAAGUACCACUCAUACAGUACGUCAAGUUCAAUCCAAAGAUUCAUAUGGCUGAUCUAUCGCUAAAGAAUGUAUAUAUAGGGGUGGUAUAUAAUCAAGGUUCUACAGGUUUAGAAUUGAUGAUAUCACUUUAAUUUCUUUUCCUCGUUGGGAGAAUCAGUUAUUCGACUACCUGUUCAAUCUUAAUUAUAUACGACUCGUAUACAUGAGACUGCGAUUGAUGAACCAUGUAUGACUGCUAAUAUGAACUUCAGGACAGAGAAAUGCCCAAGACUACGAGUGAUCGCAUCGUCAUGCGAACAAACUUAGGACCCAAUAUGACUCCUGUAAACCAAUCGCCCUACGGUCUCACACCAACAGAGAUACAAGAACUGUUCGGACAGCUUAACAACUACUCAGCAAUAGAAUGAUAAGACCAAGCUCCUCACCAUUGAGAGCUCCAGUCUUAUUCUUCAAGAAGACAGACUUCAGCAGGUGCCAUCAUACCAGCACUAAUGCACCGGAUCCCAUCAGAACUCCGCAGUUAAGCAUGCUUGGGCGAGAGUAAUACUAGGAUGGGUGAUACCCUGGGAAGUCCUCGUGGUGCAGACCUCGACAGGACUUCCAUUAGAAAUCAUUACCUUCUGCCACACAUAGAUGAAUUGGUUGACCCACCGUAAGGAACUAUUUACUUUUCAGAAAUAGGUCUGAGGUACGAACAUCAUCAGUUAUGAGUUUUAAAGGAGGAUGUCCCAAGGACAAUCUUCCAAACUCGAUGCGGACACUGUGAGUCCGUAGUAAUACCCCUCAGAUAGGACUAAUACGCCCGUAGUAUUCAUAAAUGUAAUGAAUAGGGUAUGCCAAUCUUACUUGGAUCGAUUCGUCAUUGUCCUUGUAAAUGACUUACCUAUCUACUCUCGUAGGAAGAAAGGGCAAGGAAACAUCCACAACUUAACCUACCCCGCGAACAUAGUAGCAUAUAUUCUACCUUCCACGCCUCGAACUUGAAAAAGUGUCUGUCCGACGAGACUCUUGUAAUCCCACUCGACGAGAUCGAGAUCAACGAGAGCCUCAACUUCGUGGAAGAACCAGUAGAGAUCAUGGACCGGGAAGUCAAACAAACGAAACAAAGCAUUAUCCCGAUUGUGAAGGUUCGCUGGAACGCCAAGCGAGGACCGGAAUUCACAUGGGAGCGUGAGGAUAAAAUGAAAUUGAAAUAUCCUCAUCUAUUCUCUUAGUUAUCAGUAACAAACUUAUUUGCUUAGACUUUAAUUUCGGGACGAAAUUCCCGUUAACGGGAGGAUGAUGUGACAACCCGAAACUUUCUUUCGGUCAAACCCUAAAUUCAAUCACUUCAAAUUAUAAGUCAAGUCCAUUUUAUUUAUUUUUAGCAAAUUUAAAGCUCGUUUAAUUAUUAUAAUAAUUAUUCUUAAAACGAACGGGUGAAAGGAAGUGUCGUCUCAAGUCUUGAAAUCUCAAAACCGCAAAUACCGCAUAGCUAAGAAAUUCACGGCCAAACUUUUAUGUUUGGGCUGUAAAUCCCUCCAAAAACCGUAAACUCAUGCCUUAAGCAUGAGUUUACUCCCCAAAAUACAUCAUUUCUUACUUGCAAUCUCAAGAGCAAACUCCAAACACUCUCAACUACCAUCCUGUCUUUCACCUCAUUUCCCGAAAACGUAAGUACUUCUUGGCUUGAUUUGUUGUUCUAUCAUAACAACUAGUGAUUAUACAUCUUUUCAUCCAUCAAAUUUCGUGUUUUGUUUAGAUUUCCAAAACACCAAGAACACACACUAGUGUUCUUGGGCCCUUAGCACCUUUUCAAGCUUCUAACUAGUAAGUGCUUCUACCCUAGUGUAUUGUAAAGCUUAUUACCUUUCCAAACAUCAUGAAAUGGUCCCAAGAACACCAAGGUCAUGGUGUUUACGGUCCAAGAAGUACUUGGACCGUGAACCCCAAAUAAAGGUGCCAACGUGUGCUUUAUCCUUUCCUAGGCCUUGGGUAUUAACUUAGAAUCCUUCCUUGAUGUGUUUAGCACAUAAAAAGUACCAAAAUCCCUCAUUUAUAUGUGUUUACGGUUUGGGGAGCUCCCAAAACCAUAAACACCCCAAAGUAUGUAUAAAUGACCCAUAUCCAUUCCUAUGCCUUAGUAACUAACAAGGAUCCAUUCUUUGAUGAGCAUAGGACUUGAAAACAUGAAAAUACCACUUUCCAUAUGGGUUUACGGUAGUAAACCCAAAAGGAAAUGGCCUUGGGGCCGUAAACUCCUCAAAGGAGUGUAAUGAUGCCCUAAUCUCUUCCAAAGGCCUAACCAUCAAGUAGAAAUGCUUCAAAGGACUUGUAAAACCUCAAAACAACUUUUGGUCAAAGAGUGAGGAGUUUAUGACCGUAAACCCUUGAGUUUACGACCGUAAACUCAUUGGGUAAUGGUCAUGAAAACCGUAAACUCCAAAGGAGUUUACCCUUGAACCCCAAACACAAUAGCAAGGUCCUUUAGCACUUAGAUGCAAUCCUUAUGACUCGUAGCACUUAUAUAAGGUGUUUUAUAUGCCUUAGGAUGUCUUAACUUUGUCAGUUAGUGGUUUAAAGUCUAAUUGAAUACAUAAAUGUGUGAUUAUAUGUUAACUAGGAUCAUUUGGUGUGAACAAGUCUUCAUUUGUCACCUAGCUAUCCUACAUCAUUC
rnacentral:lncRNA from 1 species